GAGACCGGAGGCUCUGGCUGGUGCACAGCUCACUGUGUGAACAGCUGUAACUCCAGGGCGCGCCUCAGAACGGUCACCCGCAACUGCAGCACACACAGCUUCCUGAAGAAGCCAGGCUGCCCGCGGCGUUUACCGCAGCAACAGAAAGCAAACCGAGACGAGCAGCGUGUGUUAGCGUCUGAGCCGUCUCUCCAGCCCUGAGUCAUCGUGUGCUCUUGAGAGACACAGCUCAAGCUCCAACUGACCCCUGCUUCCCACCACGCAAAAGGUCAUGCACCUCAGUGUAAGAGCCAACAUCAUAAAGCCUUUGGAAGGAAACGUAGGUGUCAGUAAUUGUAAUCUUGGAUUAGGUGAUGGUUUCUUUGAUGUAGCAUUUACGAUUCAAGUAAUGACCGAGAACAAAGUAGACAAAUCGGGUGCUUUAAAUGAGAGGUAGAUUGUUUCUCCGCAAAAGGGAUGCCAUCAGAAUAAAAACUCACUCAUA